rnacentral:rRNA from 1 species
UACCAGCACCCCGAGUGGUCGGGACGUUUAUUGGGCCUAAAGCAUCCGUAGCCGGUUCUACAAGUCUUCCGUUAAAUCCAACUGCUUAACAGGUGGGCUGCGGAAUAUACUAUAGAGCUAGGAGGCGGGAGAGGCAAGCGGUACUCGAUGGGUAGGGGUAAAAUCCGUUGAUCCAUUGAAGACCACCAGUGGCGAAGGCGGCUUGCCAGAACGCGCUCGACGGUGAGGGAUGAAAGCUGGGGGAGCAAACCGG